GACCCGACUGCUAUUUGGGUGAGAAUAAGCCAUGCGAGUUGAAUGGGAUACCUAAAGUUCCCAUAGCAAACUGCUCAGUAACACAUGAUCAACUUACCCUAUAGAGAAAAAUAACCUCGGGAAACUGAGGAUAAUGUUUCAUAAUUGAAUUGGCUUGGAAAAGUUUUUCAAUGAAAAGGAUAAAAAAAAUGGUUUUUAUCCGCUAUAGGAUAGGAUCGUGUUCGAUUAUGGUUGUUGGUGAGAUAAUGGCUCACCAAGCCGAUAAUCGAUAGGGGCCGUGAGAGCGGGAGCCCCGAGAUGGGUACUGAGACAACGACCCAGGCCUUACGAGGCGCAGCAGGCGCGAAACCUCCGCAAUACACGAAAGUGUGACGGGGUUACCCAAAGUGUUCAAUUUGAACUGUGGUAGGUGAGUAAUGUCCCCUACUAGAAAGGAGAGGGCAAGGCUGGUGCCAGCCGCCGCGGUAAAACCAGCUCUUCAAGUGGUCGGGAUAAUUAUUGGGCUUAAAGUGUCCGUAGCCGGUUUAGUAAGUUCCUGGUAAAAUCGGGUAGCUUAACUAUCUGCAUGCUAGGAAUACUGCUAUACUAGAGGGCGGGAGAGGUCUGAGGUACUACAGGGGUAGGGGUGAAAUCUUAUAAUCCUUGUAGGACCACCAGUGGCGAANGCGUCAGACUGGAACGCGCCUGACGGUGAGGGACGAAAGCCANGGGAGCGAACCGGAUUAGAUACCCGGGUAGUCCUGGCCGUAAACGAUGCAUACUANGUGAUGGUACGGCCAUGAGCCGUAUCAGUGCCGUNNG
rnacentral:rRNA from 1 species